AAAAAGCAAGCAGGACAUAAAUCGCUCUGCGAGGAUCCACAAUAAACUAUGGUUACUGUGCCUGGGUGCCUGGAAAUUUAAAAACAGCAAUUUUUUUUUUUCAAGAUACGACGCGAGCGAAUUCGGAGCAUUUCGUUUUAAUAUUGGAUAAAUGAAAAAAAUUAUUUCUAUAUUUAACGAUCUCCUUCUAAACUUCCAGAAGUAUACCUAUAAAAUAACUCUAAUUCCCAAUUUUGAGAUAAUUUGAUCUAAGGGAAACUACUGAAUAUGGUAUAAAAACUAAAUACAGUGCACUAAUCUUUGUUU